rnacentral:rRNA from 1 species
AUUGAACGCUGGCGGCAGGCCUAACACAUGCAAGUCGAGCGAGCGGCGGACAGGUGAGUAAUGUCUGUGAAACUGCCUGCUGGAGGGGGAUAUCUCCUGGGAACGGUAGCGCAUACCGCGUACCAUCAGAGGUGCCCAGAUGGGAUUAUCUAGUAGGUGGGGUAACGGCUCACCUAGGCGACGAUCCCUAGCUGGUCUGAGAGGAUGACCAGCCACACUGGAACUGAGACACGGCCCAGACUCCUACGGGAGGCAGCAGUGGGGAAUAUUGCACAAUGGGCGCAAGCCUGAUACAGCCAUGCCGCGUGUGUGAAGAAGGCCUUCGGGUUGUAAAGCACUUUCAGCGGGGAGGCGUUACCCGCAGAAGAAGCACCGGCUAACUCCGUGCCAGCAGCCGCGGUAAUUC